ACAACAUCAUUUGAGAGACUGAAGUUGUACAUUGGUUAUCUGCAAAACAGGCACAAGAUUCCUGCGCAUUGCACUACCGGUGCGCUACAAUCCUGCCCCAAAGGGACCACCUUGAGGGACGAGAGAAGAGUUCAGUCUCCCUGGCCCAUUCAGUCCUUGCCUCA
ensembl:misc_RNA